AUGUCAACGGUGACCCAACUCAACGCCCUUGGUGGUCCAGAGUCAGAGAGUCGGAAAAUUGUUCAGAGCUUUGCAGAGGUACUUGGUGACAAGUACCACUACGAGAAUGCCAUCGACAGCUCUCUGCUCUGGACUGUUGGGUACACCCCCUACAUUCCCCCAGCUCUGAAAGGAAGAAGCUUCCCUUCUGUCGAGAGCUUCUUCCUGGAUGAGUGGGAGCCACUGACACUCCUGCAGACUUCUCAGGUUCUGUCCACCAGUGUUUCCAUCGAGGAAGACAACCGGAUCCAGUCUGCUGCAGGCCUAGUGUCUCAGCUUCUGUCUACCAGUGUUUCCAUCGUGGAGAAUGACCUGAUCCAGUCUGCUGCAGGCCUAGUGUCUCAGGUUCUGUCCACCAGUGUUUCCAUCGUGGAGAAUGACCUGAUCCAGUCUGCUGCAGUCCUAGUGUCUCAGGUUCUGUCCACCAGUGUUGCCAUCGUGGAGAAUGACCUGAUUCAGUCUGCUGCAGGCCUAGUGUCUCAGGUUCUGUCCACCAGUGUUUCCAUCGUGGAGAAUGACCUGAUCCAGUCUGCUGCAGUCCUAGUGUCUCAGGUUCUGUCCACCAGUGUUUCCAUCGAGGAAGACAACCUGAUCCAGUCUGCUGCAGGCCUAGUGUCUCAGGUUCUGUCCACCAGUGUUACCAUCAUGGAGAAUGACCUGAUCCAGUCUGCUGCAGUCCUAGUGUCUCAGGUUCUGUCCACCAGUGUUGCCAUCGUGGAGAAUGACCUGAUCCAGUCUGCUGCAGGCCUAGUGUCUCAGGUUCUGUCCACCAGUGUUUCCAUCGAGGAAGACAACCGGAUCCAGUCUGCUGCAGGCCUAGUGUCUCAGCUUCUGUCUACCAGUGUUACCAUCGUGGAGAAUGACCUGAUCCAGUCUGCUGCAGGCCUAGUGUCUCAGGUUCUGUCUACCAGUGUUUCCAUCGUGGAGAAUGACCUGAUCCAGUCUGCUGCAGUCCUAGUGUCUCAGGUUCUGUCCACCAGUGUUUCCAUCGUGGAGAAUGACCUGAUUCAGUCUGCUGCAGGCCUAGUGUCUCAGGUUCUGUCCACCAGUGUUUCCAUCGUGGAGAAUGACCUGAUCCAGUCUGCUGCAGUCCUAGUGUCUCAGGUUCUGUCCACCAGUGUUUUCAUCGAGGAAGACAACCUGAUCCAGUCUGCUGCAGGCCUAGUGUCUCAGGUUCUGUCCACCAGUGUUACCAUCAUGGAGAAUGACCUGAUCCAGUCUGCUGCAGUCCUAGUGUCUCAGGUUCUGUCCACCAGUGUUACCAUCAUGGAGAAUGACCUGAUCCAGUCUGCUGCAGGCCUAGUGUCUCAGGUUAUGUCCACCAGUGUUUCCAUCGUGGAGAAUGACCUGAUCCAGUCUGCUGCAGUCCUAGUGUCUCAGGUUCUGUCCACCAGUGUUGCCAUCGUGGAGAAUGACCUGAUCCAGUCUGCUGCAGGCCUAGUGUCUCAGGUUCUGUCCACCAGUGUUACCAUCGUGGAGAAUGACCUGAUCCAGUCUGCUGCAGGCCUAGUGUCUCAGGUUCUGUCCACCAGUGUUUCCAUCGAGGAAGACAACCUGAUCCAGUCUGCUGCAGGCCUAGUGUCUCAGGUUCUGUCCACCAGUGUUACCAUCGUGGAGAAUGACCUGAUCCAGUCUGCUGCAGGCCUAGUGUCUCAGGUUCUGUCCAGCAGUGACGCUAGAGUGAAGGAUCGUGAUGAUUCCACACUGAGAGACUCCAACCAACCUGAGGUCCAUGUGGCUGAUGUCUCAACCAAGAGAAGUAGACUAGUCAUCACUAUUUCUAUGUUUUCAACCGAGAGUUGCAAUGCUUCGGUCCAUGAGGUUGAUGCUAUUGCUACCAGCCUGGAGCACUCUGCUGAGAAAAUGUCUACCUCUACCGCUGAUGGCCACAUUGUUUCAUCCACUGCUGUAGCCAAUCAGAAGGAAACAAGGGGCGGAUUCGUCUCAUCUCUACGGAGACUGUUCACAAGAAAGAACAGGAUGCCUGUCAGUAAUACUUAUAUACUUAUAUAAUCUUUUGUACUGUAAUAUGUUAUCAUUUAUUAACUAUUGUUAUACUAAUAUCCAGUGUUAAUGGUUGUCUUUAAAAUAUUUUUCUCUGUUGUCUACUUGUCUGUUUUCAGGCUAAAGUGGCUUCCAAGAAGGAGCACAUUCACUUGGUUGACCGCCUCAAUGCUGAAGUCACCCACUGAGGGCACUCACUCACUGCUGAAGGCAUCCAGAAUGAUGCUUCUGUUUCUCCUCAACGCCACCUACACCCCUGCCCCUCUCCCCCACACCAAACCCUACCAGGGUUGGGGUGAAUUCCAGAUAUAUUCAGUCAAUUCAGCAAGUCAACUAAAAUUCCAAUUCCAAUUGUUUCUCAUAGGAGGCAAUGAGGUAAAUUUGAAUUGCUAUUGGAAUUUCAGUUUACUUACUGAAUUGACUGAAUUGAAAAUGAAUUGACCCCAACCCUGAUCCCUAAGCCCCCACCCCAUCCAUUUCUAUCUUCAGUAAACUUUGUAGAAUUUUAUUUGAAUGUGUUUUGGAUCUUCAUUAAAACCCACAAUACAUCUCUAAUGAGGGUCACUCAUGUUACACAUCUAGAUUUAUCAUCAAAUAUCGUAGAAUUCAACAACAAAUGCAGUGGUUUAGCAGUUCAACUUCAGUACUUGUCAAUGAGUAACUGCACUGUGACCUUCAGAAACAUGUAACAUUGUGGAAAAACUGAAAACUUUUGCUGACAUUUGGUUACAAUGUAACUACACUGAACAAAAAUAUUAGCGCAACAUGUAAAGUAUUGGUCCCAUGUUUCAUGAGCUGAAAUAAAAUCCCAGAAGUGUUCCAUAUGUACAAAAAGGUUAUUUCUCUGAAAUGUUGUGUUUACAUC
ensembl:lncRNA